rnacentral:rRNA from 1 species
ACGAACGCUGGCGGCGUGCCUAAUACAUGCAAGUUGAGCGAUGAAGAUUGGUGCUUGCACCAAUUUGAAGAGCAGCGAACGGGUGAGUAGCGCGUGGGGAAUCUGCCUUUGAGCGGGGGACAACAUUUGGAAACGAAUGCUAAUACCGCAUAACAACUUUAAACAUAAGUUUUAAGUUUGAAAGAUGCAAUUGCAUCACUCAAAGAUGAUCCCGCGUUGUAUUAGCUAGUUGGUGAGGUAAAGGCUCACCAAGGCGAUGAUACAUAGCCGACCUGAGAGGGUGAUCGGCCACAUUGGGACUGAGACACGGCCCAAACUCCUACGGGAGGCAGCAGUAGGGAAUCUUCGGCAAUGGACGAAAGUCUGACCGAGCAACGCCGCGUGAGUGAAGAAGGUUUUCGGAUCGUAAAACUCUGUUGGUAGAGAAGAACGUUGGUGAGGGUGGAAAGCUCAUCAAGUGACGGUAACUACCCAGAAAGGGACGGCUAACUACGUG